GAUGAACGCUGGCGGCGUGCCUAAUACAUGCAAGUCGAGCGAACGGACGAGAAGCUUGCUCCUCUGACGUUAGCGGCGGACGGGUGAGUAACACGUGGAUAACCUACCUAUAAGACUGGGAUAACUUCGUGAAACCGGAGCUAAUACCAGAUAAUAUUUUGAACCGCAUGGUUCAAUAGUGAAUGACGGUUUUGCUGUCACUUAUAGAUGGAUCCGCGCUGCAUUAGCUAGUUGGUAAGGUAACGGCUUACCAAGGCAACGAUGCGUAGCCGACCUGAGAGGGUGAUCGGCCACACUGGAACUGAGACACGGUCCAGACUCCUACGGGAGGCAGCAGUAGGGAAUCUUCCGCAAUGGGCGAAAGCCUGACGGAGCAACGCCGCGUGAGUGAUGAAGGUCUUCGGAUCGUAAAACUCUGUUAUUAGGGAAGAACAAAUGUGUAAGUAACUAUGCACGUCUUGACGGUACCUAAUCAGAAAGCCACGGCUAACUACGUG
rnacentral:rRNA from 1 species